UGGGGAAUAUUGCACAAUGGGCGAAAGCCUGAUGCAGCAACGCCGCGUGAGUGAUGAAGGCCUUCGGGUUGUAAAGCUCUGUCUUCUGGGACGAUAAUGACGGUACCAGAGGAGGAAGCCACGGCUAACUACGUGCCAGCAGCCGCGGUAAUACGUAGGUGGCAAGCGUUGUCCGGAAUUACUGGGCGUAAAGGAUGCGUAGGCGGAUAUUUAAGUCAGAUGUGAAAUCCCCGGGCUUAACUUGUGGGCUGCAUUUGAAACUGGGUAUCUAGAGUGCAGGAGAGGUAAGUGGAAUUCCUAGUGUAGCGGUGAAAUGCGUAGAGAUUAGGAAGAACACCAGUGGCGAAGGCGACUUACUGGACUGUAACUGACGCUGAGGCAUGAAAGCGUGGGGAGCAAACA
rnacentral:rRNA from 1 species